ACAUCUGUAAAGGAGCGGACCUAUGUUUAUAUGAACCUUUAGUCAUAAAAUAAGCCAAAGAAUUAGCCCCUUCCAUAUUUAGGAACACCCUGUAUAAUAAAAAACUGAAUUUUAAUGUCAUGCGUAAAAUUCGCUGUAGCCUCCAUAGUCUCCCCCUUAAUCCAGCAUUGCCGACGACUUCUGCGAUGGAUCAGAUCGAAUUUAAGCCUGGAUUAUAUGGACAUGGUUCACGAAAACGAGUUAUUGGUAAUGGCGUUCGAAGAGAAUCCAUGCCAGUAGCCCGCGGUCGUGAACUCCCGGUGCUUCCCGAGUCAGAAUUAAUAAGGCUAAAGAUUCUGGAAGAGCAGUCUUAUAAAGGUAGGGCGCAUGUUUGUAUUUUCUUAGUGUAUUUAGCAGUGGGGGAAAAGUGAAGUGAAUAGUGCAACUAAAAGUGAUCUUUAGUGAAUUAUGGAAAUCUCCGUUUAACAACAGAAAAUAACUAAUUAUUCUUCGCAAAGUUGCUCUCGUGGGAUCAAUCAGUUUGCUUUGUAUCAAUGUGUAUGACUAUGGAUUCAUAGCCAUACCGUUUUACAAAGCGAAGUGAUUGUUUUCUGCGGAUUUAACUUUGAAGAAGGAUUGCACUCUUUAACGGAAGGUGAGUAAAUGGGCUUUAAUAAGAAUUGUCCCACUAAUCUCAUUGAUUGUUCUCAGACAAGGCACGUGAACUUCAACCACGCUGGUGAGAAUUUCUCCGCCAACUUGAUCCUGCUCAAACAAUCAGGAUCCCACCCCUGGAACAGGUGACUGGUCUCUCGUGCGGAAAACUUUUUGUUAUUCCUAUCCUUAAGAUUGUUUCUUCACGUCGACCAUCCGACAAAUCCAUGGAAUUGGACAAUUUUCACAUGGGCAGGUGACCAAGACCACUGCUUCAAAUAAAAGUUAAUGGCACUUUGUACGAGCCCAGACGCAUAUGUAUUGGACCAAAUGAAUGCUUUACCUUUUUGUUUAUUUUAUAAUUAUUGCCGUUGAUAAGAGUGUUGAAUAUCUGCUUUGGUCCAAUACAUAUGUGGCUGGGCCCUUAUAUACUUUUCCCAGUAUUGCUAAUUGAAAAAUGUAAAAUGUUGUACUUAUACCA